rnacentral:lncRNA from 1 species
CUUGUGUACAAAUUUUAGUGUAGAUGUAUGUUUUCAUUUCUCUUGGGUAUAUACCUAGGAGUGGAAUUGCUGGGUCACAUGGUAACUCUGUUUCACCUUCUGAGGAAUGCCAGCCUGUUUUCCAAAGUAAGUGCUCCAUUGUACAUUACCGGUCAGCAUUGUGUAAGGGUUCUGAUUUUGCCACAUUCUUGCAAACACUUCUAGCAAUCCCAGUGUCUGGGAGGUAGUAUGGUGUACCUUUUAUACAUAAAACAAUCAGAUUUAGAUCGGAAAGCUAAUGUUGACCUAGUUGCUCUUGGGAUAUUCAAGGGAAGGUUAAGAUUCGUUUUAAUUUUUAUGUAUUUAUUUUGUCCACAUGAACUUCAGGCCAGUCCUUCUCUACAUCUAAACUUCAGUUCCCUGAGAAACAGUUUAAGCCCUCAUGGAUUUUAGAGUGUAUAUAAGAGUUAGGUAUGGCUUGGCAGUGUGCAUUGGGUAGGAGGGGUUGAUUCAGAUGAUCAGCAGCUCUGGAUGAGAAUGCUAUCAGGCCCUCCCUGAGCUUGGAUUGAAGAGAUGAACUUCCCAGAUGACCUGGGUGAUGUGCUUUGCCUUCGUAGUGCCUCAAUAACUCUUCUACUGUUGGUUGAUUUUUUUCUUAACUUUACCUGAAUUCCUACAGAAAUUCAACUGCUGUCUGAAAAGCAUAGACCACUAAGUCAGUAUAUCUUUUUUAUAUCCUUAUUCUUUACAGAUCUGAUGUCGUUUACUCCUUGAAACUCCAUAUCUGGUCCUCUCUUUCAUGUAAAUGUUGGCCUCAGUCUAGUAGAUAUUUAUACUUGGGUAUUUUAUAAGCACUUGAAACCUAUCAUGACCAAAACUUAAUAAUGAGUUACCUUACCUUCCCCUCAACUCAUUUCCUUUGUGAGUUCCCAGUACUUCCAUUCUCUUGGUAACCCAUGCUCUAGUGCUUGCUCUCCUCCAUGCACAGAGAAUUAAGCCUCGACUGUGUCUGUGAUCCAUUUAAAAUCAGUCUAAGACUCUUUUCAGGUCCUCUACAAUAGGGUACAUGGGAAUAUUAAGAUAUGUUCUGAGGUACUACCCUAAAAACUACCUUUUCUUUAGGUUCUGGCUUGGUAUAUGCUAUUCACUUAUAUAAUCAGGUCUAACCAACUCAGGUACUUGGCUCACCCUUUAGCUAAGCCAAUGUGUAUCGCAAUCCUUGACUCCUCUUGAAUACUUUCCUUGCCUCCCUUAUCACAGAUCACCAGUAAGCAUUCUGUUUUCUCUGUAGGACUACUUGAGGUUCUGUUAGAGAUUCCUGUGGACUAGGUGCUCAUCUGUUUAAAUAUAAUCUCACUUUUAAUGUGAAAGCACCCUUUGUUUCCUGGCAGCCUAAUUUCCCUCGGCAUUUAUAGUGGUUAGAUGUGUAUUGAUGGGCAUUACUCUCUAACUGUGUGUGUCAAAGCACUUUGGGAGGCUCAUCAAUCUUGUGCUUUUUUUUAAUUGACAUCAAUAAUGUGUUUGCAUUUAUCAAUAUUUCCUAAUUGCCAAGUUAAAACAGUGGAACUUCUAUAAUAAAUCAUGCCCACAGAUAUCUUCAGACAUUAAGGCUUUAAGGUUUAUCAAUAUUUUGAUGUAUUAUAAAUUGUUUUUAUGAGGACUUUUUUUCCUAUGAGAAAGAAGGAACAGUGUAGCAAGAGACAGAGAGAAUUGAGUCCCCAGUGUUACCAUAUAAAAUUAAGUUAAAGGGCUAAAUCAUUCCAAUGAAAAGAGAAGAAAGCUAUUUCCCAAGUACAAUACGUUCCCAUAAAGUUCAGUGUUACUGUCCAAGUGAAUACUGGUGUGUCUCCCCUGCGAGUGAUGUGCUGUGCCAAGCCUGUUCCUCGGAGAGUAAUUUGGACAAAAGGACAGUUUGCACUCCUGCAAAAACAGAGCUCUUAUCAGCUCAUUUUUUCAGGAGAGGAAACUGAGGCUUUGUGAGCUGCAGUUAUUUACGGAGAGUCAAACAGUGGCUUCACAAGGCUGGGACUCAAACCCAGGGCUUGCAGAGUCCAUGGCUAGGUUCUUUACUAUUCAGGGACAGACCUGACCAAAUUCCCAAAGUCGAGGGAGACCCACAGGUUUCAAGGGACAAUCCACAUCAUCUAUUAGGCAUUUGAAGACUCUAGAAUGUUUGCUCAGAAAAAAGAUGAAUGUGAAAGGCUUGGGAGGUCUGUCCUAUAUGCGAAGGCCCUUACCAUGAAGGAGAUUAGACCUUGUCUUCUAUGCAUGCAGGCAGCAGAAGUAGGGCAGCCCUAUCACCUGCUGAGGGGCGGUGUUGUGCCAUCGUUUCAAGUGUGUUGUGCCAUCGUUUCAAGUGUGGCCCCAGCAGAUCACCCCUCAGCCACUCACCAGCCCCUGCCCUUGGGCAAGUCGCUUGACCACUGUGUGUCCCACUUACCUGAGCUGAGAUGAGAGUUUUGACAGUACCUACAUUAUAAAGUGGUUGUGAGGAUUCAGUGAGUUAAUACGUGAAAAGUGCCUUUGAUAAAGGUGCUCAGCACGUAGUAAGUGUGCAAAGUGCCACUGUUACUAUUAUUAUAUUUUAAAGCCAGACUAGGUGUGAGGAAGAAAAAAAACCACUCACCAUUUAUACAUUAAUCAUGCAAAUCUUAUUUAUGAGACACUGUUUUAGACAGUGGGACCCAGCAAUAAACAAAACAGAUCUAGGCCCUGCCCCUGCCUUCAUGCUGCUUAUAUUCUGUAUUAGAGAAAAA